CUGAGCGCGGGUGGUGGUAGUGGUGGUGGUGGCGGCGGAUCGGCCCGGAGGUGGAAGUGGAGGAACACCGAUGGAGGAUCCUGCGACGGUGCGGAUUACCACGGACGCAACCACGUGCUCCUGGACCACCGGCGCAGUUUGGAGACUGUCUGGGAAUGCUACCGAAACAAUGGAGUAAUUAGCGACCUUCAAUGCGCCACCGUCUGCAAUGGACUACAGAUCAGACAGGAAAUUACCAGUACGAGACGUCUACACAGUAACUCCUAAGAGAAAUGUCAGGAAAUCUCGUGUGUUUGUGGAAGAUGGAUCGAUAGACAACAUUCUAUCCGCCUAUCUUCGCGAGGGAUAGAAUACAAUACCUAUUUGCAGAAAGAGCAGUCGAAUCUAAAACGUCCGACUACUUAUGUGAAGCUCGGGAGUUGACCGACCAAGAUCCGUAUGUUAUUUGAAUUUAUUUCACGUUGAAAUAUUUGCCAAUAAUUUCACUGAGUUACAAUGGGACACGCGUCACUUUUCAAUUAGUCUGCCAGUACACGUGUUGUUUGUUUACUUUCACGUUCCCUUCAUGUUUAUUCAGGUAUUCAUGUACGUUGCAAAAGAAGCUUACCGUUCGCUGUUUACCAUACGGUUUAAAAAAAAAAAAUGUUUUGAAGGGAGACGGUAAAAUGACCGAAACGUGCUCUGCAUUUUUUGUUUCCACGCCUGUCCGUACGAAACAAAGUUAACUUUUGUCAGCCACGAUUCGUUGAAUAUUAUACGCCAUUAGUAUGCGGAAUUAGAAUGCAACGUUUUCCUACCGAGGCUUUGAGAUUGUAUUUUUUAACACGGGAUGGUUGUUUUAUGAAUGUAUCCAU